UCUACAUUGAAUGUACAUUUCUGAGGUCUAUAUCACCACAGCAGGUCGAUGUAUUUGAUGGAAUAAUUUUGAUUGCAAUGACUAUCUUGCAGAUGCUGAAAGUGACGUGACAAGACAUUGUCUUCAAUUAAGUGGUCCUUCAGUGCCACUGCUUUGGUUGACACCAUAAGGGAUUCGGUCGUCCUUGCCCGGACCAACUGCUCCACUUUACUGAUGAUAUUGAAGGCCUCCUGCAAUGGACAGUAAAGGGACCAAGGAUGCAGAGGACAAGACGGAUGUGUAGUAUUGACUGAAAUUAUCAGAGAAGGUCAUUUUUUAUGGUUUAGGUCCAAACGAAGGGACCCUUCCAACCUCAGCAUCUCCAACACCUCCUGUCACACC